UAAAAAAGCGUAUCGAACAAGAAGCCGUCAAUGAAAUUGAGCUGGCGUAAGAUUCCAACGAGAUUCGGAUUCCUGAGAUCAAAAUACAUCGGAAUAACAUAGAAAUUCUCAUGAAUAAAAUUCUCUCCAGAUACUCCGGAAAGAUGUUCCUAGACCUGGUGCCUCAUCAUGUCCAGGCCUUCAUUUCUGUGUAAUAAAUCAUACUUUUACAGGGUACAAUGUAGACAUAAGCUAGUUUCAUGCUGGCCUGAUUUUAUGCAAUCAUAUGUAUUCAAUCCCACUUCUAUCAAUACAUUCACUGCAAUUACCACAA